ensembl:lncRNA
AAGCCCUGAAACUGGGGACGGUGUUUAUUUUGGUGCUCCUUCCCAUCCAUCUUCUCACAUAUCGAGUUCCACAGUUCCUUUAUCAGAGUCGGAUGAAAAUACGCUGCGACACUCAAAACCUGCCCCUUCCAAACCCUAUAUAUUAACAUCAAGACCAUCAUUGUAUUGUGUUGCAAUAUUAAAUAAAAUACACUAUAUGGCCAGAAGUAUGUGGACACCUGCCCAUCAAACCCAUAUGAUCUCGUUGAACUUCCCAUUCCAAAACCAUGGCCAUUAAUAUGGAAUUGGUCCCCCUUUGUUCUGCUAUAAUAACAACCUCCGCUCCUCUGUAGGGUUGAAGUCAGGGCUCCGUGCAGAUCACUCGAGUUCUUCCACUCCAACCUUGGCAAACUAUGCACUCGUGUAUGGAAGUACAACCAUGCCAAAUGACCUCAAGGCAAAAUGGCAUGUUGAAUUACAUAAAUUGAAUAAAAACAUAUCUCAAUGACAGUACUUGAAUUUUUCUGCCCAGCAAUUUGACACAAAUUUUAAUUUAAACAACAACAACAACAACACAGCAAUAACAAUGCUUGAAUUAGUUUCCUCUGCAAUUCAUUGGGUUUGUAUAUUUUGAUUGAAAACAAAAUUACAGCAUUCAUAAUUCAGUUGUUAAAAUACCAUCUUCAUUAUUCGUCAGGUAGUAUUAAAAUUCAAGCCUUCACAUCCGGGUCUCACAGGAAGAGCAAUGGAUUGCCCGGUACUAUUGUGACACGUUACUCUGGGUCGGCCCCUAGUGGUGGGAUUGUGCAGACAAGCCACAAGAGAAGAUAAACCUAGCAGACUGGCAUAAAGUUGGCUUGACGUUGGACGUCAGUAUUCGCAGAUAUGCGCAAAUUAAGGGACCGUCUCUAAAGUUACAUAUUGGUAUACAUGUUUCUAACUUCAAUACCAUUUGAAGGGAAUGACUUAUAGCAGACACCUAGAUGAACACUUUACAGUUGGUUUUAUGACCAAGUCAUUCCCUUCAUAUGCUACUGAAGUUAGAAACAUGUAUAUGUAUAUGUAUAUGUAUACGUAUGUAACUUUAGAGACGGUUCCUUAAUUUUGUUCCUAACACUAUUAUACUUCCAUAUUCAUGGACCCUGCUUUGUGCACGGGGCACUGUCGUGGUGGAACAGGAUUAGGCUGAGCCCCUUCGCACUAGUGAAGGGAAAUCUUAAUGCUGUAGCACACAAAAACAUCCUAUACAAUUGUAUGCUGCCAAAUUUGUGGGUGCAAUAGUCAGGUGUCCACAUACUUUUGGCUAUAAAAGGUGUGAGCUAUAAUUCUCUCUAUUACUAUUGCAUACUGUCACGAAUACGAAUGAGUAGACCAAUUCACUGAGACAAAUAGCCCAGUGGCAUUCAGUAACAAGCAUUGUAUAUUAUAAAUAACGGAAGAAGUGCAAGUAUUUAUAUGGAGAUUUAAUUAACAAAAAGCACAAAUCCGACAACACUAUUGACUCGAUGAUCUUUUGAUUUGCGCUACCACAGGAAAAGCCAUGCCGCCACAAGUCUGAGUGAUCAGAUAAAUGUAAAGGACUCACGUUUGAACAGCUGAGGUGGACUGAGGAACGCUUGUGUUUCCAUCUCCUCUUCAGACAAGCCUGUGGAAGAGACACACACACACACACAAUUAAAACCACAGUACUGUUGAAUUCACAAGUCUGACUAUUCAGAUAUUGUUGAUUCAUUUUCUGGGGAAAUAAGUUUAUAAGAACGUGUUCGUUCUAAUAUUUUAUUGUUUCUAUAGUAACAGCUCAGUUACAGGGACUUGUAUGGUGGAUGCUCCAUAUAAUCGAAGGAGGCAUCUAUUUAACAACUGGAAGGCGUCUGUGGUAUCAGUGAGGUUUUCCACCACGGGAGAGUCUUCAAGGAGUUUGAGAUGGGUUUGUGCUUUCCUGGUUUCUCUUAAGAUGCAUUUUUUUGUCUUAAUAAUAAACAUAAUACUACAUCAUAUAGUCCACAGGACAAAAUAAUAUCUG